rnacentral:rRNA from 1 species
UGGGGAAUAAUGGACAAUGGGGGAAACCCUGAUCCAGCAAUGCCGCGUGAGUGAAGAAGGCCUUAGGGUUGUAAAGCUCUUUCGCCCGCGAAGAUAAUGACGGUAGCGGGAGAAGAAGCCCCGGCUAACUCCGUGCCAGCAGCCGCGGUAAUACGGAGGGGGCUAGCGUUGUUCGGAAUUACUGGGCGUAAAGCGUACGUAGGCGGAUGCGCAAGUUGGGGGUGAAAUCCCGGGGCUUAACCUCGGAAUUGCCCUCAAAACUGCACGUCUUGAGACCGAGAGAGGUAAGGGGAAUUCCUAGUGUAGAGGUGAAAUUCGUAGAUAUUAGGAAGAACACCAGUGGCGAAGGCGCCUUACUGGCUCGGUACUGACGCUGAGGUACGAAAGCGUGGGGAGCAAACA